rfam:Oryza sativa (indica cultivar-group) chromosome 2, whole genome shotgun sequence.
AAAGACUCAAUUCCUGGGUUUUCGUGUCCUACGUUUGACUAUCCGUCUUAUAUGAAACUUUUUUAUGAUUAGUAUUUUCAUUGUUGUUAAAUGAUAAAACAUAAAUAAUACAUUAUACGUGAUUUAUCUUUUUAAUUUUUUUCAUAAUUUUUUCAAAUAAGACGGACGGUCAAAUGUUGGACACGGAAACUCAGGAAUUGAGUUAUU